rnacentral:rRNA from 1 species
UCCACGCCCUAAACGAUGUACACUAGUUGUUGCCUUGCUAGACAAGGCAGUAAUGCACCUAACGGAUUAAGUGUACCGCCUGGGGAGUACGGUCGCAAGAUUAAAACUCAAAGGAAUAGACGGGGACCCGCACAAGCGGUGGAGCAUGUGGUUUAAUUCGACGAUACGCGAAGAACCUUACCUGGCCUUGACAUACUAAGAACUUUCCAGAGAUGGAUUGGUGCUAGCUUGCUAGAACUUAGAUACAGGUGCUGCACGGCUGUCGUCAGCUCGUGUCGUGAGAUGUUGGGUUAAGUCCCGCAACGAGCGCAACCCUCGUGUUUAGUUGCUAACAGUUCGGCUGAGAACUCUAAACAGACUGCCUACGCAAGUAGGAGGAAGGUGAGGACGACGUCAAGUCAUCAUGGCCCUUACGGCCAGGG